AUAGCGUAUAUUAAAGUUGUUGCAGUUAAAAAGCUCGUAGUUGGAUCUUGGGUCGGGGGGAGCGGUCCGCCCCUUGUGGGUGUGCACUGGUCACUCCGGCCUUUCUGCCGGGGACGCGCUCCUGGCCUUCGCUGGUCGGGACGCGGAGUCGGCGAUGUUACUUUGAAAAAAUUAGAGUGCUCAAAGCAAGCCUAUGCUCUGAAUACAUUAGCAUGGAAUAACGUGAUAGGACUCUGGUCCUUUUGUGUUGGUCUUCGGGACCGGAGUAAUGAUUAAUAGGGACAGUUGGGGGCAUUCGUAUUUCAUUGUCAGAGGUGAAAUUCUUGGAUUUAUGAAAGACGAACUUCUG
rnacentral:rRNA from 1 species